rnacentral:rRNA from 1 species
GACAGAGGGUGCAAACGUUGUUCGGAAUUACUGGGCGUAAAGCGUGUGUAGGCGGCCGCGUAAGUCGGAUGUGAAAGCCCUGGGCUCAACCCAGGAAGUGCACUCGAUACUGCGUGGCUUGAGUACUGGAGAGGUUGGUGGAAUUCUCGGUGUAGAGGUGAAAUUCGUAGAUAUCGAGAGGAACACCGGUGGCGAAGGCGGCCAACUGGACGGAUACUGACGCUGAGACACGAAAGCGUGGGGAGCAAACAGG